rnacentral:lncRNA from 1 species
GUACCUACACAUGUCCCAAACAACUCAAAAAUCAGACCUAGGGCCUACUUGGUCAAUUUCAGAAUUCCGACGAUGGCACGGUGGCGAUCCGCCUCGGGUUGGCUGUUUCUGGCCAUUUUCGGCCAAAUUCAGCUAAACUUGCAUUGGUUCCUGUGAGAAAACACACCUAGGGCCCUCGGUGGGCCCAAAAAACACAGAAAAUCAAAACUUACCGGUGGUGGAGCUCUCCGGUGCGGCGGCUCCUCCAGCUCACGUCGCGGUUUGGUGUUUUGCUCUAGUCAACCUAUCGAGGAGGGAACAGUGGUCACAUUGGUGGAAAAAUUACAUCGAACGGGAAUCAGGAAGGGCCUCAUCGGAGCCAAAAAUUGAGACAACCUACGGCGGCGCCGCUGGGCUUCGGCGGCGUUUUUCGGCCAAUUAGCCGGUGUUUUUGCUCUGAUUUGGCCAUAGGUGGGUUGAGAAUCGAAUUCUGAGCCAAGGAGAGAAUUUUUACCUCGUUUGGCAGCCAAAAAUUGCUCUAGUGUAGCGGCGGGUGGCGGCGGUCGACUCCCCAACAGCUGGGCUGUCAUCUCCGGCGAGGGGCUCUGGCAGCUAGGGUUAGGGUUUGGGUGCAGAUGAGAUUAUUUAUAACCAUCCACUUUUAAUUUGAGCCAUCCAUCAAGAUUCAAUCUAGACUGUCUGAUCAUGAUUAAAUAGAAAAUGAAUCUGGGUCGUUCGGGCGCGUGCAAUCUGGGCCAUCCGUGCGCGUUUUUUGAUCUAGGUCGUCUGUGCGUGCGGGAACGAAUUUCAGUCAUUCGAUCGCGCGCACGCGGAUCACCCACGUGUCUCCCUUCCGCGUGGCCUCCCGCGUCAGCGUCUUUGCCAUGCAGCGCGUCCUGGUUGGCCGGGGCUGCUGACCAGGAAGCUGACGUGGAGCAAUUUUUUUAAAUUGCAUUUUGAGCAUUGAUUUUUAAUUUUUCUUUCAAAAAUACCC